GGUGCAAGCGUUAAUCGGAAUUACUGGGCGUAAAGCGUGCGCAGGCGGUUAUAUAAGACAGAUGUGAAAUCCCCGGGCUCAACCUGGGAACUGCAUUUGUGACUGUAUAGCUAGAGUACGGCAGAGGGGGAUGGAAUUCCGCGUGUAGCAGUGAAAUGCGUAGAUAUGCGGAGGAACACCGAUGGCGAAGGCAAUCCCCUGGGCCUGUACUGACGCUCAUGCACGAAAGCGUGGGGAGC
rnacentral:rRNA from 1 species